rnacentral:rRNA from 1 species
GACGAACGCUGGCGGCGUGCUUAACACAUGCAAGUCGAACGGAAAGGCCCUGCUUUUGUGGGGUGCUCGAGUGGCGAACGGGUGAGUAACACGUGAGUAACCUGCCCUUGACUUUGGGAUAACUUCAGGAAACUGGGGCUAAUACCGGAUAGGAGCUCCUGCUGCAUGGUGGGGGUUGGAAAGUUUCGGCGGUUGGGGAUGGACUCGCGGCUUAUCAGCUUGUUGGUGGGGUAGUGGCUUACCAAGGCUUUGACGGGUAGCCGGCCUGAGAGGGUGACCGGCCAGAUUGGGACUGAGAUACGGCCCAGACUCCUACGGGAGGCAGCAGUGGGGAAUAUUGCACAAUGGGCGGAAGCCUGAUGCAGCAACGCCGCGUGCGGGAUGACGGCCUUCGGGUUGUAAACCGCUUUCGCCUGUGACGAAGCGAAAGUGACGGUAAUGGGUAAAGAAGCACCGGCUAACUACGUG